GCGAUCAUACCAGUACUAAUGCACCGGAUCCCAUCAGAACUCAGCAAUUUAGAGUGCUUGGGCAAAAGUAGUACUAGGAUGGGUGACACCCUAUGAAGUUCUUGUGUUGUACCCC